rnacentral:rRNA from 1 species
GACGAACGCUGGCGGCGUGCUUAACACAUGCAAGUCGAACGGAAAGGCCCUGCUUUUGUGGGGUGCUCGAGUGGCGAACGGGUGAGUAACACGUGAGUAACCUGCCCUUGACUUUGGGAUAACUUCAGGAAACUGGGGCUAAUACCGGAUAGGAGCUCCUGCUGCACGGGGGGGGUUGGUAAGUUUCGGCGGUUGGGGAUGGACUCGCGGCUUAUCAGCUGGUUGGUGGGGUAGUGGCUUACCAAGGCUUUGACGGGUAGCCGGCCUGAGAGGGUGACCGGCCACAUUGGUACUGAGAUACGGCCCAGACUCCUACGGGAGGCAGCAGUGGGGAAUAUUGCACAAUGGGCGGACGCCUGAUGCAGCAACGCCGCGUGCGGGAUGACGGCCUUCGGGUUGUAAACCGCUUUCGCCUGUGACGAAGCGUGAGUGACGGUAAUGGGUAAAGAAGCACCGGCUAACUACGUG